CACAGCUAAGGUUUGGCUCAUUCCUGAGAGCUCCAAUGGAGACUCUUCAUGUUGAGACUGACUCAUUCCUGGAGCCAGCCCACCAAUUCCAGACACCCCAACCCUGGACCAAGGCUCCAGUGGGGAUCCAAAGCACAGUGAGGAAAGCACAGUGGGCCUUCCCUGCACUUCCAUCGGAACUAGGCUACAGCACCUAGCAGACCAAAGGAACCCGCUGCUGGGGCUUGAAGGAGAAUGGUCCCCAUAUGAAUGAUGCAGGGAAAUGCUGAUAGGUUGUUUCAGAAAGAUUCCACAUGGUUCCUUUCGAAAAUGUUUCUUCGUGAUUUCACUCCAGUAUGCUAUGUCACCCAUGGAGUCUCACCUGGCAAAGAGAUACAUGAGACCCAUGAAGUGUGCUGCGGAUGUUUUAGAACCUUAACUUUAUUCCUUCUCAUCGCUGUGAAGAUGAAGAAUAUGAGUGCUUUGAGCUGAUUCAAGAAAAUUAUAUUUAUAAUCAAUCAAUAGAACAAAGGGUAAACAAUCUUUUUGUAGAUAAUUACAUUUCGAGACUCAAGGUUUAAUUGUCUAAAUGUCUCGUUUUCCGGGUAAUAAUAACCAUGUGGGUAAUGAUAUCCACAUUUUGGUUGGAUAUCAGGGUCGCUACAUGAGACGGAACCCUUACCAGACAUUGCUGAAGUGGCCAAGAUCUGAGACUAGAUAGGUAAUGGAUCUAGAGGAAAACCUACCACUUUAUUCUGUUAAAAUAACACGGCAAUGAAAUAAAUCCAAAUGAUAUACCGCUAUGUCCGUACUCCAGAAUAUUGCUCAACCCUUAUCAGAGAUGCUUCCUCUUGCAGUAGAUUGACAAAGUGAUCCACAACUGGUCAUUGUACAGAGGGUGAAAGACUUUGAGACCUCAGUCCUAAGUGGGAGCCUCCCCGGGCUCAGGGAACUUUGCUAAAGGGGACCCAAGGAUUCUAACAGCCAAAAGUGGUGGACAAUGCCAGAGAAAGAGUCUUUCAGAUACACCAGCACAUACAAACUCACAGAGUCUGUGACAACACCCACAGUUCUGCACAGGCUCUGACCACAUGCCAUCCCAGCACUGAGCCAGGGAAGUAGACGCAAAGUCCCACCUCUAACCACAAAGCUAUUUGCAAUUGGUACCAGCUGGGAAGGGGAAAAUCCGUUUUCUCCAAUGAAGUGUCACUGGGUAUAUUAACCGUACCCCAGGGUAGGCCACAGACCCAGGAGUAGUUGGCCAAAACAAA